rnacentral:lncRNA from 1 species
AUAAAAUGUAAAAAUAGAUCGUGAACGUAAAAAUAGUUCAAUAUAUAGAACGUAUUAGGAAAUACAUACCUUAGCAAAACAAUGUAUUCCUGUUAGCCAAAACUGAUACUAAGGUUGAGAAAUAUGUUAUUUAGAAAAGGACAGGAUUCAGGAACAUUUUUUUUUUAUUAAAGCAGACGACACGCGACACGCAGGUGACGGUUCCCAGAUAAUUUGGAAAUGUUCAUGUCGGACCGGAUAAAGCGGUUUCCGUGAAAGAUUAUAGGCAUUUUUUACUAAACUUAUCAGAAAUAAUAUACUAGUUUUGUCCUAUAUGUAUGGAAUACGUUAGCUAAAGGCCCGAUUUAAUCAGAUUAACAUUGUAUGGUUUCCCCGUAUAUGUUUUUUUACAAAUUUCAUAUAAAACUCC